GGGGCGCCAGCGGUUUGGAACGGGCGCUGCAGGCGCUCUGUGGGGUUUCUCCGCCUUGAACGGGCGCUGACGCCUCCUGAAGAGGGGUCCGGCCCGGAGCUGCUCGGCGGGAAACGGGGCGGGCGCGGCCGUCGCCUCCUCCCCUCAGCACCCCCGCCCCGCCGACCCGCCCGGGGCCGCACUGACAGAAGAUGUGGCAUGGCAGAGUUUGGAAUCACCAUCGCCUGUGUAUCUGAGGGUGACAGAAUGGAAACAAAUGUGAUCUAUAGAUGGAGUUAACAACUGUUACCUGUGUCAAAGAAAGAGACCAAGAACAAGCAUGAGCGGGGAGAAGACCAGCGAAGCCUCACAGCAUGGAAGGAUGUGAAAAAGACCCAACAGCAGAGAAUAAGAGGAUGUGAGCUGUGCUGUGCUCACAAUGAAAUCAUUGGGAAUUUUGGCAUGCAAGCAGAACUGAGUUGUUUUUUCAGGUAGGAAAAAUACUGAAAUUACAAAUACAGAACUCACAUUAAGAGGUUAAGACAGGAAGCUGUUUUCUUCCUGGGAUGAGCCAAGAAGCUACAAAAGCUGGGUCCCUAAGCUUGUGUAUUCUAGCCAAGCCUUGGCAGAAGUCUUGGUUCCAGCAUCCCUUGAGGGUGUUUUUACUUCCUAUAAAUAUAUGUCAUAGUUCUCCCACUGGUUCCUUGAGUUCUAGUGGUCUUCCUUCUCUUUUCCAUCUGAUCAAGAACCUGCACUGUAAUCUAAACUAUACUGGAGUGAACAGAUGUCUUUGCAUUGUCUUUUAAUAGGCUUCGAAUCAGAGCAGAGAGGUUAUAGUUCUUAGGUUUAUAGUUUGAUUUACAGAUUAAUUUGGACAUUUUGCUAUUGUUUUGAUUGGAGCCUCAGAUAGCCCUAGAAAUGGCAGAAGCAGCAAAUACAUAUAACAAGGUUCAUGCCAAUGAGACAACCAAAAGAGUUUAUAUAGGCAGUGCCAAUACGCACAGCAUCUUGGUGGCAGAACCAGGAAUGAAGGCGAAGAGUCCUGACUUCCCUCCUUGUGCUUUCACCAUUCCAUCAUGUAAACUCCCCAAAAUUAUCAUAAAAUUGUGCAAAGAGUAACAUCCAGCAAAGACUAGUUCUGCGUGGCUCCAUUGAGCUUGCCAAGGUUGUUGGGGUACUAAGAGAAGAGACACACAAUUCAUUUUAAGAAGGUUUUUUUUUCCCCAUUUUUGUCAUCUUCUUUGUGGUGGCUUGUGAAAUGCUGGGAAGGAACAGUACAAUGAACAGAAAAUGUUCCAAGGAAGCCGGCCUUCUCCACACCAUUGCCCAACAAGCACCCAGUAUACCAACCACAGAGCUUUGCAUAGGCGUGUAUGACACACAUGGGGACUAUAAUUUCUGCUGGCACGACACCUCUCUUCCUUUCUGAAUCCACAGAGCAGAGAAAAGGCAGAGAAUCAGAGUCUCUCCCUGCCUGGUCAAGGCUCUCGCUCACCUCCAAUACAAAUGCAGGUACAAAAUUAUUGAGUCCAGAUUUUUUUUUGCAUGAUUUAGAGCCAUAAAAUGGGAGCUGCCUUUGAGCACUUGGCUCUUCCUCUCUUGCAAGUUAGGGCCAGAUGCAAAAGAGGACUUAAGCACCUACAACUCAGUAGGUUCCUCCCUACUCAGGAUAACAUUUCUUCCACUACCAGCAACUUUAUGUCUAGACAUGCCCAGAACUGCUGUGACCUGAGCAGCUUAGUACAGAGUUCCCACCUAAAACCCACUGAGAUCCUGAAAGAAGUGUCUAUUUUCUCAGGGCAGCCAAUUCAGAUGGAAUAUUCUGAACAAACCUAAUACACACCAGCAGGACCAGUCCCCUCACACGAUACAGUCAUACCUGCUUUCUUUUAAACUGGACGAGGUGGGAGAGGUGCUCUUUGGCUGGAUGGUUUGGUUUGACUGACAAACCUGAGCAGAGUGGGAGUCAUCCUUAGCCAUUUUGCAAAAGGGUCCAGGCCUGCCCCAGCCUUGUGGGAAUUGUCUGGGAGAAUAAGCAUUCCCUCUGGGAGUGAGAUUGUAAACCUGAAAGUUUCCAACACAAAAACACAAGCCCUUUCAAGGAAAACAUAGAUGUAGAGAAUGAAAAAAGAAGAAAAAAACCCCAAAAACCUGAAGAAACCACAGUUUUUUUGCUGGCUAAUAUCAUGAAAACAUGAUAGUACUUGCAGCUUCCUGCUUGGACCUGGCUUGCUCCAAAGUUAUUUUGUGUGUUAAUCAUGUGGUUUAGAUGAUGAAGAUUAGGUCUGAGUGAGCUCGUUCAGAUAAAAGGGGAAAAGGCAGCAACCCAGCCUUCAACCAAAACUCCAACCUAAAUUUUUCUAAGCUUCAAAUAAAAUAAAUGUAAAAAAAGUACUAACUUUAUUAUUCCUUUGUUUGGCAAUUAAAAUUUUAUUUAAAGGUACUAUUAUUCAUUAGCUACAGUUACUCAUUCAAAGCUUUGAAAGAGCACGAUGCUGUAGGAAGAGCUGGUGUUAUCACUGCAAACAGGUUCACAAAAGUACAUUUCCAUCCCUUUGCCUGAACUGGGCUGUUUAAUGGAACUAAUGUUUUUAAUCUUUUACUGCUUCCAGUGUAACUACCACCGCUAAACAAGUUUCUGCCCAGUUUUGUUUUCUAGGCAUUAAAACUAUGUUCUUUAGCACUUCGCUACGUAAUACAUUUAGAUACCCAUUUUAAAUGGUUAUCUCAGGUGAUGACAUACUUUUUUGCUUGAUUUGCCCAUAGUUGACAUGCGGGGUGCAAGAGAAAUAUGCAUUUAUUCCAUUUAUGCCCAAGACAGACAACUCUUUGCAGAUGUCAAAUUCAUGCAUAACAAGCCCAGUAUUCGCUCAUGCAGACAUUAGGCAUCAAAGUACAAUUGUUGUAACCACUGUCCUCAUCCUUCAUUGCUUUUUAGUUAUGCAGACUGAAAGCCUGGCACUUCCAGAUGUGCUAGACAACAUCUUACACACCCUGUGGACUUGCUGUGGGUCCAUGGGUUUGAUUGCAGAGUCAGAAGACAGUGGGGAAUCAGGCUUUAGGUAUAUUGUAUAUGAACACUUCUGUUUAGAGAAUCAAGACUCCUGUGUUACUGUCCAUUCUAACAAUUUCCAAGAAGAAAAUUAACUCUGUCCCAGCCCAAACCAGGACAUACACCAAUGUGCAGGAAAACUGACUGGAAGUAGCCCCUAGCGGACUACUAUGGGGGAGAGGUUGCUGCCCAGGGAGAUACCAUAACAUUGGUCAUUUCACAAGACAGUUGGACCCUGAUCCUUCCAAAGUACAGGCAAAUAAAUGAGAUGCUCAAAUUAGGAGUCUAACUCCUUCACUGUAGUUACUGGCAAAAUGCAGGUACCUUCAAAAAGAGGUUGAGCUUCCCAAAUGUCAAGGAAACAGGGAUUCUAACAGUUCAGUAAGAUUAAUCUAAGACUUCAAGCCUUACAGCUGAGUAUAUGGAAAGGUAAAGUGUCACAGGACACAAGACUGUGGCAGGCGCUGUCUGGAGACUGCUGUUCAAUCAGUUGAUCCCUCUGCACACCUGCAAUUACUGAUUUUGAGUGGGUAUGAAGGAGGGAGACGCUUUUCGUGACAGUGGCUGUUUGUGCAGCGGUUCAAACCCAACUUCAGUCAGGUUAUAUUAAAAACAGAGUGAGUAAGCCAGCUCUAGAGAGCGACUUCCAUCAUUAUAAACUAAAGAGGCUUGGAUUAACAUUUGAACUUUUUGAAUGCUUAUUCUAAUUCAACCACAGAAUCUUCUGAGAGUGUCAGCCAUCACUAAUUAAGACAUGCAACCAUUUAUCUGUGGUUCAGCCAUGCAUUGAUGCACAGGUUUUGCUUUAGUGGUGUAAAGUGUCUGUGCUGGGGUGAAUGCCACUCAGAUAAAACCAGGCACUAACUCUACACAUUUAUAUUAACUCUCUUCCCCCUUCCAUAGUUGGGAAUAUUACCAUGGCCUCAGAUUUAGAGUGAAAACAAACAACCCACUUCAAAAAUAAACUGCCCUAGGAAGUGUCUUUGAAUUUAUUUUUUUUAAUGCCAAAUAAAAAGAACAUCACAUGUGAAUGUAAAUAAUUUUCCCUGCAGUGAAUGCAGAACAAACAUCCCAGUGUUUUGCGAAUACCUGGAAUAUAAAACUGUUUAUAAACAAUAGCAAAUCUGACAGGUCUGUUUUAUUUCUCUUCCUCCUCCAUAUCACGCAGUGUAAAUUAAUAAAUAUUAAUGAAAAA
rnacentral:lncRNA from 1 species